rnacentral:tRNA from 1 species
GGAGUGUAGCUCAGUGGUAGAGCACUAAACUAUGACUCCAGGGACAGGGGUUCAAAUCCCAAUCUGCUCCU